ACGUCUGUAUGGACGUCUGACAUAUGGGCACAGCUGAAACAGUAGGAGAAUAUCAACGUGCAUUUUGCACGCAAAGAGUUGACAUGAUGCAAACAAACAUCUGGAUUUUUUCUCUGCAGUUGUGACAAGGAAUUUCCGGCAAUCUUCGACGUCUACGUUCGGUGCCACCACUUCCAGGUCGAUUCGAUGGCA